rnacentral:rRNA from 1 species
UACAGAGGGUGCGAGCGUUAAUCGGAAUUACGUGGGCGUAAAGCGCGCGUAGGCGGCUUUGCAAGUCGGGUGUGAAAUCCCCAGGCUUAACCUGGGAACUGCAUUCGAGACUGCAUUGCUAGAGUAUGGGAGAGGGAAGUGGAAUUUCCGGUGUAGCGGUGAAAUGCGUAGAUAUCGGAAGGAACAUCAGUGGCGAAAGCGACUUCCUGGACCAAUACUGACGCUCAUGGAUGCGAAAGCGUGGGGAGCAAACAGG